GGCGUUCUGGGCCCUCGUGCCCCGCUGCAGCGUUCUGGAGCUGUGGGGCGGGGGCCUUGGGGUUGCUGGGGAAGGCAGCCGCAGCCCUGGCUGACGGGGAGGCCUGAGGCCCCUCCCGGGGACCUCUCACAUGGCUCUGGGUGUGCUCCUAGGUUGUCCUUGGUCUUGUGGUCUGACUGCUUUUCGUUUCCCAAAGAGAGAUUUUAAAGGUUGACGUAUGAAACUCUACUGGGCUUUUCCUUUAUGACUUGGGUUUUCAGUCCUGUCUGAGGACAUUUUCCUGCCUUAGGAAUGUUCUUUCCUCUUUCAUUUUUUCUGCCAGUUUUAUAGUCUGUUCCCCACACUUAGCUUGUUAUCCGUGCGGGAUUCGCUCCCGUGCGGCUUGAAGUGAGAGCCGGUACUUGUCCAGUCGCGGAGCCGGUGGCCCGGCCAUCACCCAGCGGUCUGCCCUGUGCUGGGGGACGAGAACCGCCGGCCGGGGCCGUUCGGAGCAGUUUCCGACCACUGUUCCUGCUGCACAGAAAGGCGCUCGGGCUCGCCACGUGCCACUGCGUCCCAUGUCUUCUGGGGAGAGGGUCAAACCGUGCAGACGCUGCUGUUUCCUGCGCUCUUCGUCCUUGUCUCGUCGGCGGGCCGGGCAUCUGGUCCCAGCCCGCACGCACGCGCACGGUGGCCGUGGUCGGAGGCCCCUCUUGCUCUGACUCGGCGCCCGGGCGUCGGGCUUCACCGCCGGGCGCGGGACGGACCAGCUGUCCAGCGAGGCCGUGGCUCCCUGCCUGCUUGCUGAGACGCUCUUGGGAGACCAGCGGUGGAAUCUCGUGAGCUUUUCCUGCUUCUGUCGGGACGGUCGUAUGGUCUGUCCUCUCCGAUCGGUUAAUAUGGUAAUUUUAUUAAUAGAUUUCCUGAUGUUCUACGUUUCUUCCUUCUUUACUCGCAACACACUGGAAGUUCACUUUGCUAUGUGUCUCAGCACCUUUUCCUUUUCCAAAACAAGCCCUGACCCUCUCCCCAACCGCACCCCCCGCCUCCAGCAUUUAGCUUCUGUGCAGCACAGUUCACAGCCCGUAAGGUGUAGCUCCGUGCGGGCAACUCCUUCACGGCUGGUGUGUUUGGAGGGACGGGGUUGCGAAGGGCCCUGAUGUGUAGCAUUUGCCGAUUUCUGUGGCGUAAAUAUUUUCAAGCUACCAAUGAGCCGUCCACUGGGCCGUUCCAGAAAGUCCUCUCCCCUGAGCCGGUAGGAGCUGGCGGGCAGCCCGGUGACCUUCCUCUGGUCCAUGCCCGUCCAGGUCAGCCCUGCUGCCUCCCCGGGGAGCCGCUGCUCUGGUCUGGUCCCCUGCUGUCCUUGCUCCUCCUAGUUUGCCGCUCUGUGCACGCGCAGCUCCGCAUCUCCCCUCAGAGCCAGCGCGGUCUCCUCACUGACAGCUGGCGAGGUGCAGGGCUCCUGGCGAUGUCUGUCGGAAACCCGAGCAUCUGGCCGCCAUCACCGCCUCUGGAGCAACUGCCCUUGUUGGAGAGACGAGGGAGGGUCCACAGUAGGAGCGUCCUGCGGCCCGAGGGGCACCUCGUCUCGAGCUCGUGCAGCUCUUCACCCUCCCUGUACAAACAAGCUCUUUUCCUGCGAUCAUGACUAGUCUUUCUUGAGCACCUACUUCGUGCGUCAAGCGCUUGGGACGCCAGCGGUGUAGUAGGGAGCAGAGUCCUAGCGCAGGUUCCGGAACACUUGGAAGCCGCCUGUUCUUCAGUUCACCGGCCUUGCUGUGUCCCCGACUCAGAUGGCCGCUUGUCUUUGCCCCUGGUGAUAGAUCGACCUUCAGUUAAUCUAGUUUCUCCCACUGCUUGAUUCAAAAUUCCCUGCUUCAGUAUUCCUUGAUGUCCACUUUUACGCCUUCUGUGAUUAUCUCUGCUUCACUAAAUUCUCGAGAGGAGAAGAUGGUGGAGUCGGAUCUGCGGUUUUACAUUACGAAAGGUUGGUUUUUUCAGGGGUCAUGAGGGUAACUGACUCAGUGAAGUGACACUCCGGUUGGAGCCGCGGGCAAGCUCAUCGCCAGCAUCGUCUUCUGCGGCCCUCUGGGUGCCCGCGGCCGGCUCCCUUCCGUCAGGGUCUCCGCCUCCCGAGGCACCGGGGCACGGGGGUGGGGCGUGUGGGGCGCCGCGCUUCGGGAGGUGGUGGCUCUGAAGGACGGGCUCGGCCCCGGGCCCCGUGCGGCAUGGUGCGUUUGCUCCCCACUCUGCUGCCGGGUGGGUGCAGGAGGUCAGGCACGGGCCCCCAUUCUCCAGGCUUCCGCCCGAGGAGCCUGCUGGGUUUGCCUGGGGGGGGGGGCAGAUCUAGAGGGUCCCAGUGAGUUGAGCUGCUGGGCCAGGUGGGGAGGCUCAACGCAGGCCGGGGCAUCAGGAAUGCAUUCGCCCAUUUUAGUAAGAGAAACUAGUUCUGUUUGACUUAUUUAGACAAUUUAAAAGCCCGUAGAGAUCAACUUCCCUCAUUCCUUGGUUGGGGGGUACUGAGAAACGGUGUGAAAAGCGCAGUCUGGGUGGGUCUUGGCUCCUGCCAGGUCCCCCCCGCCCCCCCAGCAUCCUGUCUGUGGAGAAGAUCCUUAGACCUGCGGGGCCCGUUGGUGUAGAAGGUGUUGCCUGGUCCUGCUGACACCCAGAGCCAAAGCCGCACGCCCUUUCCUUGCCCUGGUCUGGCACGACACACCUCCAGGCCGGCCGGGGGGGUGUCUGUCGGGGAUGGGGAACUUCCAAAGCCCAUCCUUGGCUUAUCAGCUGACCUUGGCCUCUUGGCAGUGACGGAGUCAGCUGGCGCACCGGCCCCGCAGUCUUCUGCUGUACUGUAACCGGCUGCCAAGGGGCAUUGGAAAGACGGACCGCAAAGCAAAGCACUUCCGUGGCAGUAAACGUUACCUUCUUUUCCGGUGUAGUUGCACCUUGGAAUCUCAUCUUAGAAAAUAGUAAUUAUGGGGACUAAGCCUUAGUAGGACGGUUGAACCCUUGUAGAUGAAUCAGAAUUCAAGAAUCCUCAUCAAAAGUAAUUUUCCCAUUGUUGUAUACAAGUUGAAUUUUAAAAAUGGGUGCAUCUUACUCAUCUGUAAACUUAUAAGCCAGAAUGACACCCCGAUAUAGUGUCACGUAUCGUCCUGUAAGUAUUAAAGUGAUCGUCGAAUGAGGAAUUGUGCAAAUACGUAGCCAGUGAGGCGGAGGAAGUCGGUGAAGCUUUGGGUAGCUUAAACCUAACUUUACCUGAAUCGUCACUUUAAAAAUUGUGUGAAUAGAGCCUCUCGCAAGCCCACACAAUGUGAGUCGUGAUCCAUCCUCGUACAUUUUUACUUCUCUUUCUUGAAGGUAGAUCUUAGGUUCUGGAGGUGUCGGAACCAGCAUCAGGUCUAGGUUUCACUUCUUUUCUUUCCUUUCUUUUUUUAAUAAAGAUUUUAUUUGUUUAUUUGGGAGAGUGGGAGCGAGCACAAGCAGGGGGAGAAGGAGGCAGAGGCAGAGGGAGAAGCAGAGCCCCCGUGAGCAGGGCGCCCGUCGUGGGACUCGCUCCCAGGACCCGAGACCAUGACCCGAGCCGCCCAGGCGCCCCUUCGUGCCCUUUCUAAAGCCAAGGACAUCUUUAUCUUGUUUUCAGAGCCAACAGCGUCGUCUGUUCCUAGGCUACUGAAAUCUGUCGACGAGUCUCGUAUCAUCCGUGCUGCUCCCCCAUAUUUACGCAGAGAGCAGUGAGGACCGGGUAUCUCUUGUUUGAGAUAAGCAGGGCUUCCUGCCACGUCUGGGGCCCCACGGCCACCUUCACACGGCUCAGGCCACAGAGGAGCCUGGAGUGACCGUGGCUGGGGCGCUGGGGUGCUGCGCUGGGCUGCUCCAGGUCGCGGGAGGAGCCGGUCUCUGGGCACUCCAGGCCAGGUGCACCAGCCGUGGCUUCCUGCUCACGUUCCCCUUGGCGGGUCUCCCUGGCCAUCGGCAGAGAGAAGCGGGCAUUCUGUGGGUGCAUAGCCCUCAGAGCCUCACUGCUGCUGUUCUGACCCGGGGCAGUCACCUUUUCUUCUCUGGUUCUGGAACUGGCCCUGUGUGGCGAGGGUCAGCGUGGUUGUGAUCUCUCACCGUGUGUGAGAGAUCUCCACAGGGGUGUCUGGGAAGACCUGCCUGUCUCCUGGCCUGGCCGCAGCCUCCCUUGCUGGGUCUUCUCUUGGGAAGAGGCCUGGCGGCGGCCUCUGCCGAAGCUGGUAGCUGCGUCUGCUGCAGCCCCAGGAAUCCCCAGCAGCGGCACGAGGUCCCGGAGGUGGACACUGCCAGUCAAGGCCUUCUGCGUUUUUAUGUUCUUAUUUAAUUUAUUUUUUAAGUAGGCUACAUGGCCAGCGUGGAGCCCAAUGCGGGGCUCAAACGCACGGCCUUGAGAUCGAGAUCUAGCUGAGAUCGAGUCAGAGCCUCAGCCGAGGGAGCCGCCCAGGCCCCCGCUGUCUGGACUGUUGAGCGAGAGGCCGGAACCCAAUGAUUCUCGUCCUCCAGGCUGUGACUCAGGCCGCUCAUCUCUCAUCUGCCUGAGAAGCACCUUAGGUUUCGGCUUCCCGUCCCCGCGCGGCCAUCACACGCGGGUGCUGGACGAUAAAGUCAUGCUCAGCAACGGGCUUAAUUUCUGGCGCUUCACUCCUGCUGGGGACAGGCCCGUCCUCGCCGCUCCUGGCUCAUCUGGUCAGCGCGUGGCCGGGUGUGACCGCGGCCCACUGGAGUCGCAGACCCGUGAGCGGCGGUUUCUCGGUGUGAACGUCCAGUGUGUGUGUCCGUAAGAUGGGUUUCUGGUGAUGCCGUGUUUGCAGAUGGAGGCUCUUUUGAGAAAUAGAAUAAAUCAAAUUAUUCGGACGCUUCUCUUACAGCUCCCCGAGGGGCCGUGGUCAGCGCGUGCUCCGAGCCUCGUGGCGACCCCGAGAGGGGCUUCCAUCAGGCCUCCGGCCCUGACCUCCCUUCCGGGCAGAGCUUCUCGAAAUGAGCCCGUUUCGCACCUGGUGCUAGUUGGUUGUCUGAAGUUUCCUUUACACAGGAAAUCCUGAAGUAAAAUUUUGGAAAGUUUUUGUUAAUUCCACAGGAUGUUUUUGAGUUGUGGGUUUGCUGAAAGUGUGUUUCUCAUGUUUCGCUGCCGGUGCGGCUGCAGGCGGGACACGUACUCCGAGCGCAGAGGCCGCACCGAGGCCGUGUGUCCGGCUGGGUCCCGGCUCCGCACCCGCGGGCUCUCCGCAUCCCUGUGUCCACGUGAGCCCUGGGGCCGUCAGGACCUCGUCCUGGUGCGCUCUCCAUUGCCACGGCUCUUCUCACCUCCUCCUAGCCAGUGUUUUCUGAGUGCCCCUCGCGCGGGGGCUCUGACAGGCCCCGAGCAAGCCAGGCCGGCAGAUGUCUGCUCGUGCGGACCUGUAUGUCUCAAGCUGUCCACGCACAGCCUCUGUGUGGGGGGCGGGAGGCCCUCGGUGUUCAUGCCGGGGCCUCCCGGCUUGAUGCCUAUCCCCACUCUCGUGACCUUCCUGACUGUCCUGCUUGGCUUUGGGCCUCUAUGUCCCUCUGAAAUGGCUCUUCGGAGUCACUGGUGACCUGUCUUUGGCAAGGUCAGCGGCCACUGUCCUGUCUUGUUAGGCCCUCAGCAGUGUCUGACAGAGCGGCCUGAGCUGCCUGGUUCCCCCGCCCCCGCCUGUCCCGGGCGCCGCUGCCCCCAGCCUGCUUGCUGUGCCCUCCACUCUGGACGUGGCACAGUGCACACCCCCGCUGUCCCUGUCCCUCCCACGUGGGCCUGUGCUCACUGUUCCUUUCUCCCCGCCUUGCGCACUGUCCAGCUCCUUCUGGUCUGUCUCUGGCUCCCCUCGCUGGCUCUCCUGGGCCCAGACUCGCCCCCGUGCAGUCCACCGUCCUGGGGUCACUGUGCCCAUCCUUCCAAGGGCGCGUUCCAGCAGCUGACCCCUGCUGGACCCCUUCCGGAGACUUCCCCUCACCACGGGGAAAGUCGGUCCCCUCAGGAGCAGGUCGACAGGCCUGCGUCUUGCCGGUUUCCCUCCAUUUUCCCUGUUUGUGGGCCUGCGCCCGUGGCACCCCCCACCCCGGGUCCCAUGCGUCUGUUGUGUCUCCUGUGGGGGUGUGGGUCAGACGCCGCCCGCCUGCCGUCCAGCCUUUGGCUCCCGGCGUGUGUCCUUGGCGCGGCGGUUCCUCUGCCCUUGCCGCGCUGUUCUUGUCCACGUCAAGCUGCUUGAGGAACGCGUGGCGUGGGCCUGCUUGCUGGUGGCAUGCGUGUGGUCUCCCCUGUGCCCUGCACUGGGAGCUGCUGGUCGCCGCUGGUCACUGCUGUGGAUCCAGGUCUGUAGCGGGCCUGGUUGUAGUCCCUGUGCCCAGGCAGUGUCCUUGGCCUGCAUUUGGGUCGGGUUGACUUGGCAGCAUGGAGCAGAACCUGGCUGGUCUGGCUUUCAGCUCCUGGGCCCCUCUAACCAAGAAGUACGAAGUCUGGGGCCCGGAAGGUGCUUUCUGGGCCCUUGCGUCUCUCCUGUCUGCUGUUCCGUCCUCGUGCUUGUGGGUGACUUCUGACGGCAGCCUGAUGUUCCAGCAGGAAGGGGCGGUGUCUCUCUCGGGAAGGCAUUUCAGGAAGCCCCCGGGCUCCAUCUCAUAGUCUGGGAGAGUGCCGCGUGCCGCCUCUGGUCACUAGGAUCUGGGGCAGCGUCUGUGCGUAACAAGACCAGGCUCCGUGAGGAAGCGGUAAGAGCGACAGUGGGCCGCGCCCCCACGGCCCUGUCCGCAGGGGUCCUAGGACCAGUCAGAGGCUUUGGCGCUGCAGGAUUCUCUGCUUAGCGCUGUUUGCAGUGUCUCGAGUUCUGGACCAGUUUGGACAGUCCCCACCUGCAGACAGGUGAGUGGGGAGUUGAUGCGGGUGCCGAUGCCCUAGGACUAACUGGAGAAUGGGGCAGUCUGUGGCCAAGUGGGCCUGUUAGUCUUUUACUCUGAACUGCAUGGACUGACCUACCUGGUGACGAGAAUGGCUGGGGACAGGUUCGGGGUGCCCUGGGCUGCAACAGGCUCCUCCUGUGCAGUGACCUGAGUACAUGGUCGCUGUGGGUGGGCCCAGCCCUGGCCCCCAGUGGAGAGAGGAGCCCUUGCCUUGCUCUGCGGGUCCUGCCCUAGUGGCCACGCCUCCCUCCGUGGGGAGGGUCCAGCCGGGUUCUCCCCAAGCACCCAAACGUGGGCCUCUGUGGCCCGCAACAUGGCUUUUGCUGUGUGGGUGGAAGAAGUCUGGGGGAAGUGCCCUCUGGGGCUGUGCUCCUGCCUAGCCGCGUGCCCCAGGGAUGGCUGCCACCGCCCCACACUUGCACAGCCUCCUAGGAGCCAGGGAAGGGGCAGGCCCUCCUCCGGAAGAGCUGCUUCUUUGCAGCCUCCUGGGGUGGUGUCUGAGGUCGGGCUGCGCGCGGCAACCCCAGCCAAGGGCAUAUGCAGAACAGCUCCUGCGCGGAGAGGAGCCUGGGGGAGCCAGUCCGGGGUUUGGGAGGGGCCGUCCCCACAGCCGAAGCGCCCGCACCCCGCUUCCUCUCCGAGGGCAGCUGCCCCCAGUGGUUUCUGCAGGGAUUAGAUGAGGACACGGAUUGGCCCCCGAGGCAGUGCCUGCGGCUCAGGGAGGCUGGGGCUGGCCCUUCAGGUCCUCACAGGGUCUUUCCCGCUGUGAGCCGCUCCCGUGCUGCCUCUUUGUUAAUUGAGAGCGGAAGAGCUAAGUAACUCUCCACCCAGUGUGGGGCUCAAACUCAUGACCCUAGGGUCAAGAAUCACUUGCUGUACCAGCUGAGCCAGCCAGGUGUGCCCGGACACCCGGACGUUUUGAAUGCCCGUAGGAACCUCAGUCUGUGCUGACUGCUGGGCGGGAGAGAGCCGCUGGCGACACUGCCGGAGAGCCUCAGAGGCUCACAGCCGCUCUGUGCUUUGCCAGACGGAGUUUAUCGACUUCUGAGCAGAGGGAGCCUACUUUCUGCUUAUUCCUCUUCUGAAGAUUGUUGGUGCGUCUUCCUUACUGGGAUUGGGUGUCUACAUGCAGUCCACACAAGGGUUUGAAAUAAUGCUGCGUGUUUUUGAAUUAUAAAAGUAUGCAUGUUUCUGGAAAUAAGUGUGCAAGGACUUCAAAAUGGAAGGGUUCGCGUCCCCCACCCCCACCCCAGUCGCUACAGGUAGCCCCUUCCGUAGGACCACCAGGUCGGUAGCCCUGGGGAGUCCGUUUCCUUAGAACAAAUGUGGUGCUGUAUCCGUGGUCGGAAGAUGGAUUUGGGGUCGGGUAAACUAGCUUCUUCCAUAAGUGUGCUUUGUAAAAGAGCGUAUAAGAAAUAAAGAACAAGGGCUUCUUCUCAGGGCCCAGCAGGACCUGCCCCGGGGGCCCUAGAGCACCAGGCAGAGCCAGAAGGGAAGGAGCCCCCACCCUGAGGGGCGUGUCAGAGGGACAGAGGAGCCACCUGAAGGGGCUCCCGGUGGCCAGAGCCGGACCCGUGCCAGCCGCGGAGUGAAGUCGUGCUGGAUCACAGCCCGCACGGUGCGUAACUACCCACGAGUCCGCACUGACAUCGUCUGCGGCUCACGCGCGCUGCUACCGAAACGGCAUUUCCUCCUCCGAAGGAGACCCCCCAGUGUCCGCACAGCCGCUCUGUCCUCGGGAGUGGAGUGUGCCUCCCCCUCCUCAGGUGUGGGCUGGGCCCCAGGGGACGGUGCAGGGAAGGGAAGGAGCCACGUGGGGGGGGGACACCCGGCAGACCCAGCCCCACCAGGUGACCACGGCCCACGUGAGCAGGGACGGUGCCCCCAGCGCCCGGUCCCCCUCCGCGCAGUGUGGAUGGGAGGAGACGGACACUUGCCCUCUGCGGUCCUCCCCGCCACAGCCCCUGGCCCCGGUCCACCCACGAGGAACCGCCAUGCGGACCCCAGCGAGGGGCGUCUCCCCAAAGGCCUGACUGGGCCUCCGCCCAACGGUCGGGGUCCUCGGAGGGACGGUCACAGCCAAGAGGAGACGGAAAGCGACGUGACUGAUGUCGCGUGGUGUCCUGAAGGGAUCCUGGGACAGAACGGGGCCUUGGGGGGGGACUGAGGACAUCUGAUGCUUAGUUAACAAUAACGUGUUAAUACUGGUUUGUUAAUUGUAACAAAUGUAACGCACCGAUGGGAGAUGUUUAUAAAGGGGAAACCAGGUGUGAGCGCGUGGGGAACUGCGUGUGAACGUGUGGGAAACCGGGUGUGAACACGUGGGAAACUGGGUGUGAACACGUGGGGAACCGGGUGUGAGUACCUGGGAAAUCGGGUGUGAGCGUGUGGGACACCGGGUGUGAGCGCGUGGGACACUGGGUGUGAGCACGUGGGGAACCGGGUGUGAGUGCGUGGGACACUGGGUGUGAGCACGUGGGGAACCGGGUGUGAGCGCGUUGGGAACCGGGUGUGAGCACGUGGGGAACCGGGUGUGAGCGCGUGGGACACCGGGUGUGAGCACGUGGGGAACCGGGUGUGAGCGCGUGGGGAACCGGGUGUGAGCACGUGGGACACCGGGUGUGAGCGCGUGGGGAACCGGGUGUGAGCGCGUGGGACACCGGGUGUGAGCGCGUGGGGAACCGGGUGUGAGCGCGUGGGACACCGGGUGUGAGCGUGUGGGGAACCGGGUGUGAGCGCGUGGGACACUGGGUGUGAGCACAUGGGAAACCUCUUUACCAUCAUCUCACUUGUUCUUUAAAUCUAAAAUGGUUUUUAAAAAAUAAAGUCUAUUUUAAAAAAAUAA